UGUGGGAGCGAGCUUGCUCGCGAAGGCGGCGCGUCAGUCAGCAUAUUUCUCGACUGAUCCGCCGCCUUCGCGAGCAAGCUCGCUCCCACA
rnacentral:antisense_RNA from 1 species